rnacentral:rRNA from 1 species
AACGAACGCUGGCGGCAUGCCUAACACAUGCAAGUCGAACGAACCCUUCGGGGUUAGUGGCGCACGGGUGCGUAACGCGUGGGAAUCUGCCCUUGGCUUCGGAAUAACAGUUAGAAAUGACUGCUAAUACCGGAUGAUGUCUUCGGACCAAAGAUUUAUCUGCCAGGGAUGAGCCGGCGUAGGAUUAGGCAGUUGGUGGGGUAAAGGCCUACCAAGCCGCCGAUCCUUAGCUGGUCUGCGAGGAUGAUCAGCCACACUGGGACUGAGACACGGAGCAGACUGCUACGGGGGGCAGAAGUGGGGAAUAUUGGACAAUGGGCGCAAGCAUGAUCAAGCAAUGCCGCGUGAGUGAGGAAGGCGUUAGGGUCGUAAAGCUCUUUUACCCGGGAUGAUAAUGACAGUACCGGGAGAAUAAGCUCCGGCUAACUCCGUGCCAGCAGCCGCGGUAAAAC